rnacentral:rRNA from 1 species
GACGAGCGGCGGACGGGUGAGUAAUGUCUGGGAAACUGCCUGAUGGAGGGGGAUAACUACUGGAAACGGUAGCUAAUACCGCAUAACGUCGCAAGACCAAAGAGGGGGACCUUCGGGCCUCUUGCCAUCAGAUGUGCCCAGAUGGGAUUAGCUAGUAGGUGGGGUAAUGGCUCACCUAGGCGACGAUCCCUAGCUGGUCUGAGAGGAUGACCAGCCACACUGGAACUGAGACACGGUCCAGACUCCUACGGGAGGCAGCAGUGGGGAAUAUUGCACAAUGGGCGCAAGCCUGAUGCAGCCAUGCCGCGUGUGUGAAGAAGGCCUUCGGGUUGUAAAGCACUUUCAGCGAGGAGGAAGGUGGUGAACUUAAUACAUUCAUCAAUUGACGUUACUCGCACAAAAAACACCGGC